rnacentral:rRNA from 1 species
ACGCACGCUGGCGGCGUGCUUAACACAUGCAAGUCGAACGGAAAGGCCCCCACUUUUUUGGUGGGGGUGCUCGAGUGGCGAACGGGUGAGUAACACGUGGGUGAUCUGCCCUGUACUUCGGGAUAAGCUUGGGAAACUGGGUCUAAUACCGGAUAGGACCAUGGUUUAGUGUCUCAUGGUGGAAAAAUUAUUGUUUUGGUGCAGGAUGAGCUCGCGGCCUAUCAGCUUGUUGGUGGGGUAAUGGCCUACCAAGGCGUCGACGGGUAGCCGGCCUGAGAGGGUGGACGGCCACAUUGGGACUGAGAUACGGCCCAGACUCCUACGGGAGGCAGCAGUGGGGAAUAUUGCACAAUGGGCGCAAGCCUGAUGCAGCGACGCCGCGUGGGGGAUGACGGCCUUCGGGUUGUAAACUCCUUUCGUUAGGGACGAAGCCGCACCUUUUUUGGGUGUGGUGACGGUACCUUUGUUAAGAAGCACCGGCUAACUACGUG